rnacentral:rRNA from 1 species
AUUGAACGCUGGCGGCAUGCCUUACACAUGCAAGUCGAACGGCAACAGGUCUUCGGAUGCUGACGAGUGGCGAACGGGUGAGUAAUACAUCGGAACGUGCCUAGUAGUGGGGGAUAACUACUCGAAAGAGUGGCUAAUACCGCAUGAGAUCUACGGAUGAAAGCAGGGGAUCGCAAGACCUUGUGCUACUAGAGCGGCCGAUGGCAGAUUAGGUAGUUGGUGGGAUAAAAGCUUACCAAGCCGACGAUCUGUAGCUGGUCUGAGAGGACGAUCAGCCACACUGGGACUGAGACACGGCCCAGACUCCUACGGGAGGCAGCAGUGGGGAAUUUUGGACAAUGGGCGCAAGCCUGAUCCAGCAAUGCCGCGUGCAGGAUGAAGGCCUUCGGGUUGUAAACUGCUUUUGUACGGAACGAAAAGCCCUGGGUUAAUACCCUAGGGUCAUGACGGUACCGUAAGAAUAAGCACCGGCUAACUACGUGCCAGCAGCCGCCGUAACAC